GAAGGUGGCCUGUGAGGGUUGCUGGAGGUAUCAGAAGUGCGAAUGCUGACAUAAGUAACGAUAAAGCGGGUGAAAAGCCCGCUCGCCGGAAGACCAAGGGUUCCUGUCCAACGUUAAUCGGGGCAGGGUGAGUCGACCCCUAAGGCGAGGCCGAAAGGCGUAGUCGAUGGGAAACGGGUUAAUAUUCCCGUACUUGGUGUUACUGCGAAGGGGGGACGGAGAAGGCUAUGUUGGCCGGGCGACGGUUGUCCCGGUUUAAGCGUGUAGGUGUGUGUUCCAGGUAAAUCCGGUUCACUUUAACACUGAGGCGUGAUGACGAGGCACUACGGUGCUGAAGCAACAAAUGCCCUGCUUCCAGGAAAAGCCUCUAAGCAUCAGGUAACAUCAAAUCGUACCCCAAACCGACACAGGUGGUCAGGUAGAGAAUACCAAGGCGCUUGAGAGAACUCGGGUGAAGGAACUAGGCAAAAUGGUGCCGUAACUUCGGGAGAAGGCACGCUGACACGUAGGUGAAGUGAUUUACUCAUGGAGCUGAAGUCAGUCGAAGAUACCAGCUGGCUGCAACUGUUUAUUAAAAACACAGCACUGUGCAAACACGAAAGUGGACGUAUACGGUGUGACGCCUGCCCGGUGCCGGAAGGUUAAUUGAUGGGGUCAGCGCAAGCGAAGCUCCUGAUCGAAGCCCCGGUAAACGGCGGCCGUAACUAUAACGGUCCUAAGGUAGCGAAAUUCCUUGUCGGGUAAGUUCCGACCUGCACGAAUGGCGUAAUGAUGGCCAGGCUGUCUCCACCCGAGACUCAGUGAAAUUGAACUCGCUGUGAAGAUGCAGUGUACCCGCGGCAAGACGGAAAGACCCCGUGAACCUUUACUAUAGCUUGACACUGAACAUUGAGCCUUGAUGUGUAGGAUAGGUGGGAGGCUUUGAAGUGUGGACGCCAGUCUGCAUGGAGCCGACCUUGAAAUACCACCCUUUAAUGUUUGAUGUUCUAACGUGGACCCGUAAUCCGGGUUGCGGACAGUGUCUGGUGGGUAGUUUGACUGGGGCGGUCUCCUCCUAAAGAGUAACGGAGGAGCACGAAGGUUGGCUAAUCCUGGUCGGACAUCAGGAGGUUAGUGCAAUGGCAUAAGCCAGCUUGACUGCGAGCGUGACGGCGCGAGCAGGUGCGAAAGCAGGUCAUAGUGAUCCGGUGGUUCUGAAUGGAAGGGCCAUCGCUCAACGGAUAAAAGGUACUCCGGGGAUAACAGGCUGAUACCGCCCAAGAGUUCAUAUCGACGGCGGUGUUUGGCACCUCGAUGUCGGCUCAUCACAUCCUGGGGCUGAAGUAGGUCCCAAGGGUAUGGCUGUUCGCCAUUUAAAGUGGUACGCGAGCUGGGUUUAGAACGUCGUGAGACAGUUCGGUCCCUAUCUGCCGUGGGCGCUGGAGAACUGAGGGGGGCUGCUCCUAGUACGAGAGGACCGGAGUGGACGCAUCACUGGUGUUCGGGUUGUCAUGCCAAUGGCACUGCCCGGUAGCUAAAUGCGGAAGAGAUAAGUGCUGAAAGCAUCUAAGCACGAAACUUGCCCCGAGAUGAGUUCUCCCUGAGACUUAGAGUCUCCUGAAGGAACGUUGAAGACGACGACGUUGAUAGGCCGGGUGUGUAAGCGCAGCGAUGCGUUGAGCUAACCGGUACUAAUGAACCGUGAGGCUUAACCUU
rnacentral:rRNA from 1 species